rnacentral:tRNA from 1 species
UGCGGGGUGGAGCAGUCUGGUAGCUCGUUGGGCUCAUAACCCAAAGGUCGCUGGUUCAAAUCCAGCCCCCGCUA